rnacentral:piRNA from 1 species
UCCAGUCUGAUUUUGUAUGUGAGG